GGUGGAGCCUAGCCCAAAAGAGUUCACAUGGCAGCCAGAUUGAAAUGGAAAGAAGGAAGUGUGUGGAGCCUCGGGGGUGAAUGGCAGGGGCGUCCUGCAGGCAUGUAGGUGGCAGUUAUUACAGAGACUCAUAAGUGGUCAAAGUGCUGAAGACAAGGGACUGUUGAAUGCUCAGUUCAAAUAGGACAUCUCUAUCUCCCCCUCUGAGGCUCUGAGGACAUUGCAGAAGAAGAGGUUGAAAUAAUGGAGGAGUCAGAGGAACAGACGGAAGGCAGAGCCUUUGUAAGCGGUUGCUUAUCCAUAGCCCCCACACCUGGCACACUAUCAGAACCACAGCUAAUUUGAUAAUUGUUAACUGAGUUAAUGAAAUUGUCGGUAUGAUUAUAAAGAUAUGAUAUACUGCUGACUUAA